rnacentral:rRNA from 1 species
GUUUGAUCCUGGCUCAGGAUGAACGCUAGCUACAGGCUUAACACAUGCAAGUCGAGGGGCAGCAUUUCAGUUUGCUUGCAAACUGGAGAUGGCGACCGGCGCACGGGUGAGUAACACGUAUCCAACCUGCCGAUAACUCGGGGAUAGCCUUUCGAAAGAAAGAUUAAUACCCGAUGGCAUAAUUAGACCGCAUGGUCUUAUUAUUAAAGAAUUUCGGUUAUCGAUGGGGAUGCGUUCCAUUAGGCAGUUGGUGAGGUAACGGCUCACCAAACCUUCGAUGGAUAGGGGUUCUGAGAGGAAGGUCCCCCACAUUGGAACUGAGACACGGUCCAAACUCCUACGGGAGGCAGCAGUGAGGAAUAUUGGUCAAUGGGCGCAGGCCUGAACCAGCCAAGUAGCGUGAAGGAUGACUGCCCUAUGGGUUGUAAACUUCUUUUAUAUGGGAAUAAAGUUUUCCACGUGUGGAAUUUUGUAUGUACCAUAUGAAUAAGGAUCGGCUAACUCCGUGCCAGCAGCCGCGGUAAUACGGAGGAUCCGAGCGUUAUCCGGAUUUAUUGGGUUUAAAGGGAGCGUAGGUGGACAGUUAAGUCAGUUGUGAAAGUUUGCGGCUCAACCGUAAAAUUGCAGUUGAUACUGGCUGUCUGAGUACAGUA